UACGUAGGGGGCAAGCGUUGUCCGGAGUUAUUGGGCGUAAAGAGCGCGUAGGCGGUUCAGGAAGUCUUCGGUGAAAUCUCCCGGCUUAACCGGGAGCGGUCCGAGGAAACUCUUGGGCUUGAGGAUAGCAGAGGAGGGUGGAAUUCCCGGUGUAGUGGUGAAAUGCGUAGAUAUCGGGAGGAACACCAGUGGCGAAGGCGGCCCUCUGGGCUAUACCUGACGCUGAGGCGCGAAAGCGUGGGGAGCGAAC
rnacentral:rRNA from 1 species